rnacentral:rRNA from 1 species
AUGCAGCGGCGGCGGGCGCAGACGUGGGCGGGGGUGGGGAAGACGGCGCAGGCGGCGGCGGCGCACGCAGCGCUCUUCUGCUUCACGCUCCUCCUCGCCCUCAGGGUCGACGGCCGCACCGACUCCUCCUGGUGGAUUAUAUUCAUCCCGCUGUGGCUAUUUCAUGGAGUGGCCGCCCGUGGAAGGUUUUCAAUGCCAGCCCCUUCAUUGCCUCAUGGGCGUCAUUGGGCUCCUUGUCAUUCUGUUGUUGCAGCACCAUUGCUAAUCGCCUUCGAGCUGCUACUUUGCAUAUAUCUUGAAAGCUUAAGAGUUAAGAAUCAUCCAGCUGUUGAUAUGAAGAUCGUGUUCCUUCCUCUGCUGACUUUUGAAGUGAUUAUUCUUGUUGACAAUUUUAGAAUGUGUAAAGCUUUAAUGCCAGGGGAUGAAGAAAGCAUGAGCGACGAAGCUAUUUGGGAGACACUUCCUCAUUUCUGGGUCGCAAUCUCUAUGGUGUUUCUUAUAGCUGCGACAACCUUCACACUUCUCAAGUUAUCUGGUGAUGUUGGUGCUUUGGGAUGGUGGGAUUUAUUUAUAAAUUAUGGGAUUGCAGAGUGUUUUGCUUUUCUUGUUUGUACAAGAUGGUUUAAUCCCAUGAUUCAUAGGCCUCCUACUCAUGGGGAGGCUAGCUCAUCAUCAUCAGCUAUUAGAUAUCGUGAUUGGGAGAGUGGUCUUGUCCUCCCAUCACUUGAAGACCAUGAGCAAGAGAGGAUUUGUGGCCUUCCAGACAUAGGAGGUCAUCUCAUGAAAAUACCGCUGGUGGUUUUCCAAGUUUUGCUUUGUAUGCGAUUGGAGGUACAUGCCAUUCAAAUCAUAUAUUACGUAGGAAAUAUGGUUGAGAUUAACGGGUCAUAUCUACUAUUAGAUGCUGGGCAGAUGAAAAAGUGCCAGGGUACACCACCUAGCGCUCGCUACAUUCCAAUAUUUGCUCUUUUCUCCCCACUAUUUAUUCUACAAGGAGCUGGUGUCCUUUUCUCGAUAGGAAGAUUGGUGGAGAAACUUGUUCUGCUAUUGCGUAAUGGACCAGUUAGUCCGAAUUACCUUACAGUAUCAUCAAAAGUCCGUGAUUGUUUCGCUUUUCUUCAUCACGGGUCAAGGCUUCUUGGUUGGUGGUCUAUUGAUGAAGGGAGCAAGGAAGAGCAAGCUCGGCUGUUUUAUACUGAAUCUAACGGGUACAAUACAUUCUCUGGUUACCCACCUGAGGUAGUAAAGAAAAUGCCCAAGAAGGAUUUAGCAGAAGAGGUUUGGAGACUCCAGGCAGCGUUGGGAGAGCAAUCUGAAAUCACCAAGUCUACCCAGCAGGAAUAUGAAAGGCUUCAAAAUGAGAAGGUACUUUGUAGGAUUUGCUACGAGGGAGAAAUAUGCAUGGUCAUACUUCCCUGCCGGCACAGAACGUUAUGCAAGUCAUGUGCUGAGAAGUGCAAAAGAUGUCCAAUCUGCCGUAACCCCAUCGAGGAGCGCAUGGCUGUAUAUGAUGUUUAA